GCCCGGCUAGCUCAGUCGGUAGAGCAUGAGACUCCUAAUCUCAGGGUCGUGGGUUCGAGCCACUCGCUGGGCG